rnacentral:lncRNA from 1 species
UCUAAUCAGUUCUAAGUUUUGAAAAGCCGCGUCGAUUGGGACCAAAAUCAUUGAAAUGCGGUGCCUCGUUUUUGAGAUAUCGUCGGAUAAAAAAAUUGAUCAGAUACGUAUAUACAUACACACAUACACACACACAGUCGUCCGUCCGAAAGCGGUCGGAGAUGAUUCUCUGGAUCUUGAAACGUCAAGAUUUAGUGAACACCUAACUUUUCAUUUUCGGGGUGAUGACAAUAAUUUCCUUUUUUCUCCGAAAAUGGAGAAACGGGAAGUUAAAAAGCACCAAAUAGUGUUGCUUCCAAACCGAAAUGCAGUCUAUAGAAGUUUUAUAGAAGUUCACACCGUCGAUUGUUUACAAUGUGUUGGUUUGACGGCGAUGGUGUCAACCUCAAAAUCCAAGUCUGUCACAGAUUUGCGUGUACACCGACACAGUGUUGCAUUGACACCGAUAUAAUGUUGAAUUGACACCGAUGGUGUCAAUCUGAUGUCGAAAGCUCUUACGCGUACAAGUUUUAACAUGCCGCAAGUCCUUAGCCCGCAGUCAGAGAAGCUCAGUUUCCUCCACGCGCGCUUACAAGCAGUCGCUUCGCAUUUCAGUGCGCAGCAAGCAGCAAAUGUGCAGGAUGCACCGGAUAGUGGUGACAUUGUUACCGGGACAUCUUUCCAGUUGCGAAAGGGACGAUACAACGGGGAGACUAAAUAGAUAAAAGUGCUCACUCCCAAUGGCAAGCCCUUGGAAUAGAAUGAUUUUAUUAUUACAGGAAAUAUUCUAUGACCCUGAAGGCCGGUCAGGUUACAUCUCCUGGAGACUGC